GCUAAGCGAUUGUUGUUUGUGCAGUAUUACAUUAUCACCCUUUCCAUUUUAAUAUUUAUAUAUAUUCACAUAAAAAAUUUAUAUCCAAACAUAUACAUACCAUUAUACAUUGUCAAAUCAGUACUAUAUCUUGGUUUGACUCUUCUAUAACAUGCUUUGAAUAGCUUAGUUUACCAAAAGCCUGCAACAUAGAAAAGAAAAACAAGAAUUGACAUGGUAUGUACGGUUCACAUUUCUCAAGUUUACUGGUGGUUGCUUUCUUAGGUUUAAAGCUACAUAUGUUCCCAUUUGAUAGAAUGGCAUGCCUAUAAGUUGUAUAGUUUACAUGCAUAGAGCUCAGCUAGUGAAAUUUUCAUCAUUAGGCUUCGCAUGUAGCUAAUGUUGAUUGACACAGCAUAAGCAGAAUGAUACAUGUGCUUAAUGCUAAUUAGUGUUUAAACAUGAAAUUUGAUUUCGGAAUAAUUAUACUGUAGCUUAAUUAGUUUUACAAGG
rnacentral:misc_RNA from 1 species